rnacentral:sRNA from 1 species
GCUGCCCCGGGAGCCAUGGGUCCUAUUGGAGCAGAGCGAGGAUGCAGAGGGAGGAGGCAAGGGAGGGGGAGAAAGGGGAGGAGGAUGGAGCCCUCCUCCUGAUACGGUAGUGGUAGUAAGAAUCAGCAGCGCGGGCAAGGAGUACGGACGGGAGUCAGAGGCAGAGCGAGGGUGUGUGGAGGGCCGGCGGGGACCGCCGGGAGCGCGCGGAUGUCGGUGUUCCUGGGGCCAGGGAUGCCCUCUGCAUCUUUAUUAGUAAAUCUUCUUUCAGCUUUACUCAUCCUAUUUGUGUUUGGAGAAACAGAAAUAAGAUUUACUGGACAAACUGAAUUUGUUGUUAAUGAAACAAGUACAACAGUUAUUCGUCUUAUCAUUGAAAGGAUAGGAGAGCCAGCAAAUGUUACUGCAAUUGUAUCGCUGUAUGGAGAGGACGCUGGUGACUUUUUUGACACAUAUGCUGCAGCUUUUAUACCUGCUGGAGAAACAAACAGAACAGUGUACAUAGCAGUAUGUGAUGAUGACUUACCAGAGCCUGACGAAACUUUUAUUUUUCACUUAACAUUACAGAAACCUUCAGCAAAUGUGAAGCUUGGAUGGCCAAGGACUGUUACUGUGACAAUAUUAUCAAAUGACAAUGCAUUUGGAAUUAUUUCAUUUAAUAUGCUUCCCUCAAUCGCAGUGAGUGAGCCCAAGGACAGAAAUGAGUCUAUGCCUCUUACUCUCAUCAGGGAAAAGGGGACCUAUGGAAUGGUCAUGGUGACUUUUGAGGUAGAGGGUGGCCCAAAUCCCCCUGAUGAAGAUUUGAGUCCAGUUAAAGGAAAUAUCACCUUUCCCCCUGGCAAAGCAACAGUAAUUUAUAACUUGACAGUACUCGAUGACGAGGUUGGCUAAUGUUACAUACCCAAAUGGGACAAGGAUUCUGUGUUGCAGGACACAGUCCUGUAUAAACUUAGUGUAUUGUGGCCAGUCGCACCUCAGCUAUAAAUAGCUGACUGUUCUGGAAUACAUCUUAUUACUAUUUAUCUUACUUAAUUCACAUUAAAUUACACAUCUAAAAGCUGAUGAAUCUGAAUAUAACUGGCAACCAUACAUCAUACAAAUAUUUAAGCAUUUUGUAUACCCUGGUAAUCAAUUUUUGUUAGUGCUUUCAAUUUUGAGCAAGAACAAUACUAACCUAGAAUAAAUAUUUUACCAUAAAAGCAAAGAAAAAUUCUACUGCAGUUGGUAUUCUUUUGUUUGGAUUUUUUUGUUGUUGUUUAGAAGGAGUCUCGCUCUGUUGCCCAGGCUGGAGUGCAGUGGCACGAUCUCGGCUCACUGCAAGCUCCGCCUCCCAGGUUCACACCAUUCUCCUGCCUCAGCCCCCCGAGUAGCUGGGACUACAGGUGCCUGCCACCAUGCCCGGCUAAUUUUUUGUAUUUUUAAUAGAGACGGGGUUUCGCUGUGUUAGCCAGGAUGGUCUCGAUCUCCUGACCUCGUGAUCCGCCAGCCUCGGCCUCCCAAAGUGCUGGGAUUACAGGCGUGAGCCACCGCACCAGGCUUGUUUGGAUAUUUUUAAUGUUCACAUUUAUGGGAAGAUUUUUAUUAUUUUUAUAUUUCACAUUGGAACUAGCAAGGAUAGAGAUACAUGAUACAGCUAGCUUAAUUGCUAAGAAAAGAAUGAAUCUGAACAAUAAUGUGCAAGGAUGUCCCCCACAGGAGCUAAACGAGAGAAAACAUGACUUUUUAUAAAAGAAACUAAGUUUUGCCAGAAAAGAAAACAAAAAGAAAAUAGCUGGGAAUUUGUAACCCUCCCUCUACCCUCCUACAAAAAUUCUGAAACUAAAUCACAAAAAAACUCAAGAGAAGGGAAAAAAUGUAUUAGAGUAUUAGAAGACAUUAUUAGAAAAGAAUUUUUCUCUUGAAAAAAAAUGAAAUAUUUGGAAGCAUUGAUAUCUCCAGUUCCUCUGGUUCUGGAAGCAAGCAAAAAAACCUUUUUGUUUUAAGAUCUCAGAGCAUUGAAUGGGCUAUAAUUUGGGGAGAUGAUUAAUUAUACAUUUUGAUUGUAAAUUUGAAAGAUCAAUCUAAUCAUAACAUUUUAUUUUUAAGAUAAAUAGCUUUGCUUUUUAUAUUGCUGCUGAUGGAGGUAAAAGCAUGCAUUUUUUUCACUUUUAUUUCUAAAAUAGAGUUUAUGGUGAAUGAAAAGCUCACACAGCACAGUGGAGAUUAACCCCAAGAUUUCUCUGCAGC